GAAACUGUAAUAACUGCGAUUUUUAAUCAAAGCGAAAUGAUGAUCGCAUUGAUCGGCACUUUACUUUACAUAAUUAAGCAUGAUUAGUUGGGCCACGACUGUUGUUAAUUGACCACACCGUUAGUUGAUUGAUAGCAGCUUAAUUAUCAGAAAAUCUCUCUCUCUCUCUCUCUCUCUCUCUCUAUCUCGGCCGAACUCAGAAAACAGAGCAAAGCUCUCCGUUCUCUCUCUCGCUCCACCGGCCACCAAUCAGCACCAGACCACCUCCCACAGCUUCAACUCUAUCUUGCGCAGCUCCUGUGGCAGUCUUGGGUCGCUGCACGGCCGGCAGCGGCUGCGAAGAGCCCAGUUUCGUUUUAAACCCGAUUUGGGUCCAAUCGUGAUAACUCGAGCUACAAGCCAUCAAUCCUCACCAAACUCCAUCCACGAGCUCACCUCAACCUCCUGAAGCUCCCAGAAGCAACCUUGCACGGCAGAGUGGUCUGUGGCGGCGGCUGCAAGUCAACCCCGACUUAGAUCGAACGAAACUUUCGAUCCGGAUAUCCCAAGCUGUAGAGCUUCGUUUUGGGUGAUUCUUAAACUGGGGAGUUCGCCUUGAGUUUAUGAACAAGUUUCUAGAAGAGAUCGAGGCGUGUGGUUGAAGUUUUUAUAUCGAACUAGGAGUCGCCGGUUUCUGGGUAUUUUCCGGCCACCUCGACUGGUUCUAGGUGAUUGACGGUUUGAGUUGGUGGACGAUUGUGAAUCGUAGUUUGAGCUGUUAAGAAGAUGCAGCGGGAUUAGAGGUGAGUAAAUCGCACAUGGUUCAUUUACGAACCGAAGUUCCAAAGAUUUAUGUUUAAUUGUGGAAAUUGUUUAAGAAAUAAAUAAUUGUUUUGAAAAAUAUGAACUCGAUCGACUACGGUUCAUAGGGCUACGGCUCACAGGUAAGAAAACGAAUUUUAAGUUUUAAAAUGAAUUUAUUGUUUUAUUGCAUGAGAACUAUAGUUGGUAUUAAUAGGCAUUCCUGUGUGAAUGUCUAUGUACAUAUCUUAUUUACAUGAAAAAUAUAUAUGUAUUGAUGGAUUUUGUUGAGGAAACCACAUAGUAAGGUGUUGAGUUUUAUUGUUUGAGAAACAAUAAAUUGUUUGAUCUGUGGAGAUGUAUUGAUCUGUGGAGAUCAAUAGGUCACGGGGUGACCAUGGCAUACUAUCAGUGAACCACACUCUUGUACCGGGUUGGUGGUUACUAAUAGCAUUAAAUCGUGAACCAGCUCUCGCGCCGGGUAGGUGGAAACGAUCAGUUAGAGUUCUAGUCUGUCUGCCAAAUGUUGAGUGAUCUUAUGAGGGUAACAUGGAGUUACUUGAGACUCCUAAGUGUGUGUGUGUGUGUGUGUGUGUGUGUGUGUGUGUGUGUAUGAGAGUGAGAAAGGGAGUUGUUUUGUGGUGGUCAUUGUGGGAUGUGAUAUUACUACAAUUUCUAUGCUUGAGUUGAAAUUGUUAAUUAAAAUUUGUGCAAUCCUUAAGUUUACUCAUACGGGCUGUCAAAAGCUUACCGGGUUUUGUGUUGUUGCAAUCCCGGUACACUAUUCAAAUGGUGUAGCGGAUAAUCCUGCAGGUCAGGAGAACCAAGGUGGUGAUUGGCCUGCUUAGGGCAGUGUCAUUCGAGUCACAGCAUUAUUGUGAGUUUCGCUAUGUUCAUUUCAAACUUUACAAUUUGGAAUUUGUGAGAGUGUGCUGUAAUAAGAAAAUUGAGGAGUUGGGUUAUGUAAUAUUGAGUGGUGUGAGGUGUGUUACUCUGAAAAAAAAAAAUUUAGAUUGGUAUUUGUAUUUGUGAUUA